GAGGGUAUAGCUCAGUACUAGAGCCAGUGCUUAGUAUGCAUGGUGUCCUGGGUUCAAUCCUCAGUACCUCCU
rnacentral:tRNA from 1 species